CAGCCGCCGCGGUAAUACGAAGGGGGCUAGCGUUGCUCGGAAUUACUGGGCGUAAAGGGCGCGUAGGCGGACAGUUAAGUUGGGGGUGAAAGCCCGGGGCUCAACCUCGGAAUUGCCUUCAAUACUGGCUGUCUUGAGUAUGAGAGAGGUGUGUGGAACUCCGAGUGUAGAGGUGAAAUUCGUAGACAUUCGGAAGAACACCAGUGGCGAAGGCGACACACUGGCUCAUUACUGACGCUGAGGCGCGAAAGCGUGGGGAGCAAACAGGAUUAGAUACCCCCGUAGUCCCUGUCUCUUAUAC
rnacentral:rRNA from 1 species